rnacentral:rRNA from 1 species
UAGGGAAUUUUGGGCAAUGGGCGAAAGCCUGACCCAGCAACGCCGCGUGUGGGAUGAAGGCCCUCGGGUCGUAAACCACUGUCAGGAGGAAAGAAAAGUCGGCCGGAUAAUACUCGGUCGACCUGACGGUACCUCCAAAGGAAGCACCGGCUAACUCCGUGCCAGCAGCCGCGGUAAUACAGAGGUGGCAAGCGUUGUUCGGAAUUACUGGGCGUAAAGGGCGCGUAGGCGGCCCUCUAAGUCAGACGUGAAAUCCCCCGGCUUAACCUGGGAACUGCGUCUGAUACUGGAGGGCUUGAGUAUGGGAGAGGGAUGUAGAAUUCCAGGUGUAGCGGUGAAAUGCGUAGAUAUCUGGAGGAAUACCGGUGGCGAAGGCGGCAUCCUGGACCAUUACUGACGCUGAGGCGCGAAAGCUAGGGGAGCAAACAGGAUUAGAUACCCACGUAGUCCCUGAGCGGGCUGGCAAGGCGCAU